rnacentral:ribozyme from 13 species
CCUUCUCCUUUACCUUCUUCUUCUUCUUCUUCUUCUUCUUCUUGUCCCGCUGCGAAACCUCAGUCCGUGGCUCAGGUUUCGGAUUAUAUCCAAACUGAGCACGUGGAACGUUAUAUGAACCGCGCCGCCCAUAGUAAGCCUCAGCCAAAAUAAGAACUUGUAUGAAAUGAGAGGAUGAAGGAUUCUCUUUUUUUAUGAAAUAAUUUUGUGUCCAAAAAAAUGUAAUAAAAAAAUUUAAAAA